CUUGACAAAAGUUUGGAAGAC
rnacentral:misc_RNA from 1 species